rnacentral:sRNA from 6 species
CAUAUCUCUCUUACGGGAAGGAUGAGAAGCUUCGACUAAGGUUCGAUUCGAGCGAAAGCGAGAAAGCGUUGCCGCAGGCAACGACCCGAAGGGCGAAGCGCGCAACGCUGAGUCAUCCUUCCCCCACCAUAA